rnacentral:rRNA from 1 species
AUGGCCUUUUGUAUAUAUAUGACUUCUUUUUGUUUUGAUCUGGGCAGAGAUUAUUUUGCUAAUUAUCCAUGUAUGAAUUUACUGCUGCAUCCUGCAAGUCUUGUUUGUGUUAGCAACUCUUUUAUCCUUGCCUCUGUACCACCAUUUAUUGUAUCUCAGACUGUCACAUAUCUGUUAUUAUUUAUGCACGGUAACUGUGAAACUCUAAGUCAAAUUUCUUUAUCUGAAAACUGGCAAUUAAACUUAUGUGUGCGUGAUGGCCCCAUGCCGCUAACUGUGCUCUUGGGUUGUGAAGAAAAGCACAUUAUGGCUUACUUACUACAUUCCGCCUGUCAGUAA